GGUCAGCAAGAGAGAAAAACUUACCAGGAAAAUAGAUCUUCUCUUAGAAACAUAUUGCUAUCUGAAGUAUCUAUUUUUUAUUGUUCUUAAAAUAAACAACCGUAUUGGCCAAUAGAAAUGUGGAACAGAUGAGACAAAGAAAAUAUUUCAUAAACUCAAGCUGAAAAAUUGGCCGAGGAAUAAUAUAAAAUUGAUUUCAUCAAUUUCCAUUGUUGCUUUUCGUUGGGUUAGAAAAAUAUAACAGUCAUAUUAAUCUUGAUUAGAAAUUAACAAAUCAAACAUUGUUUCAAAAAAGGACAGAACAGCGAAAUCAUUCUUAAAAAUGAAGCUCAGCUCCUUUAUCGCCAUCAUCGCGGCCACCUUUCUGUUGACAGUAUCAGUUCAAGCUCGCUCUCCUGGAAAGCAUUUCUUCGGCGCACAUAAGCGAUUUGGAUACAUGCCUGCAAAAUACAUGAACGAACUUCUAACGGAGCACGGAGAUGACUCUUUUGGCGAUGAU